GGCAGAGGCCGGGACGCGGGCGGGCGUCCGGGGGCUGCGGGCUUAGCGGCGAAGGGCUAGUAGGAUGCUGGGUGGGAGAUGCAGGUGAACUGAGGCCUGAAACCGACUGAAUAAGUGUGACAGACAGGGGUCGAGGCCGAGCUGGGGAUGACGGCGGGGACUCGGACUCGCCCUUUGUCUCCUCGCUCCAAAAUGGCUGCGGCCAGAGCCGACGAGGCUGACAGGGCGCCGAGCAGGCUGGCGGGCGGUCUGUUCCCGGGAGGCCCGUGCAGACCGGCAUCGGUGAAGGCGGGAGCACACGCAACCUGUCCUGCGACCCUAGCACCGCGGAUCCGAGCCGGGUUACUGGAGCAGGUUGGGGAAUGCAAUUCAGGGACCAUGGGGAGGUGCGUGCCCAGUCCCCCACCCCCGCCCCUUGGGCCCGUGACCCGCCCUUCAGGGAGGAGGCCCGCCAGUAGCCGUCACUUCCUGCGCGCAGCCCCCGACACGGGUGUUAGUGUCGGGAUCGCGGGUGGCCGGCUGCACGGGGCCAGCAGUUCCGGCAGCGAUCCCCGCAGGGCCUUUUUGUAUCUCAUUUCCUGUCCGUGCGCUAGCGUUCACGCUUCUCCCCGUGGCUAGGUCAGUCUCACCCACAAAACACUCUAAUUGAAGCCUGAGGAGAAGAGCCAACAGUGAUGCCAGAUGCUGCUACAUUGCUGAUAUCUUCAGUAAAGAAAUGCCACUGCAAAAAGUCCACAGAGGGUGGAGCAAUGAUAUGGUGUCUCUCCCUCUCUGUCUCUAUCUGAAAUAAAAAUAAUGAAAUUGA